UACGCACAAAACACUCCGUCAACCUCGCCGCGGAGCGCGAUGCCUCGCCCCUCCCUCCUCCGCCUCCGCCGCCUCUCCUCCGCCGUCUCCGGCGGCGGCGCCGCCGCGCCGGUCCUCUUCCGCCACCCCGCCUCCGGUGGCGGCGGAGAUGCGCGGCCAACCACCGUCCAGAUCCUCUCCUGGGGCCGCGGCAGCUCCGGCCAACUCGGUGGCGGUAAGGAGGAGAUCCGCUUCUACCCCUCCCAUGUCGCCUCCCUCCUCUUCCCCCCCGCCUCCUCCCCCCCUCCCCUCGCCCCCUCCCCCGGUCGCCUCCUCCCCCUUCCUCCUCCUCCGCCGCCGCCGCCUACCUCCGCCGCUGAGGCGGAUGUGGGGAUCUCGUGCGGGCUCUUCCACUCGGCGCUCCUCGUCGACGGCAGGGUCUGGAUGUGGGGGAAGGGCGAUGGGGGGAGGCUAGGGUUCGGGGACGAGGCCUCCCUCUUCGUCCCCACCCUAAACCCUAAUCUCGAGGGCGUGCGCGCGCUCGCGCUCGGCGGAAUCCACUCCGCCGCGCUCACGCGCGACGGCGAGGUAUUCACCUGGGGUUACGGUGGAUUUGGAGCUCUAGGUCAUUCUGUUUAUCACAGGGAGCUUUUGCCUAGAUUAGUAAAUGGUCCUUGGAGUGGAACCAUAUCACAUCUUGCUACCAGUGGAGCCCAUACUGCGGCAAUAACUGAUUCAGGUGAACUUUACACUUGGGGCCGUGAUGAAGGUGACGGCAGAUUAGGGCUUGGAAGUGGAGGUGGGCCCGGCGAAGCAGGCUCGCUUAGUAUCCCUUCCAAAGUAAAUGCAUUGCCUGUGCCCAUAGCAGCUGUAGCUUGUGGCGGUUUUUUCACAAUGGCGCUAACUUCAGAUGGCCAGGUGUGGAGUUGGGGAGCAAAUUCGAAUUUUGAACUAGGAAGAGAGAACAAUACCAGUGAUUGGAGGCCGAAGCCUAUUCAAAGCUUGGAAAAUGUCCACAUCGUUCAGAUAGCUUGUGGCGGUUACCAUACUUUAGCCUUGACAGAUAAAGGUGAAGUUCUUUCAUGGGGACAUGGUGGACACGGUCAACUUGGUCAUCCUUCUAUCCAAAAUCAGAAAAACCCUAUUGUUAUCGAAGCUUUAGCCAAUGAGCGAAUUGUCUAUAUUGCUUGUGGCGGUUCAUCCUCAGCUGCUGUUUCAGAGAAAGGAAAUUUAUACAUGUGGGGAAAUGCGAGGGAUUGUCAACUAGGUGUCCCCGGAUUGCGGGACAUCCAACCGCUUCCCAUUAAAGUAAAUUUCCUUAGCGAGGACGACGACCUGGGCCCUCAUCAUGUCUUUGCUGUUGCAGUCGGUGCAUCGCAUGCCAUGUGCUUGGUUACAAGGACAAAUCCUGCUUCUUAGGAGAUUUAGGGGCUGUUUGGUCUCGCUGGAACUUUUGCAGGAGUGCUUUUAGCACAGAGUUUUUUCAAAAAGUUGCAACAAUGUCUUUUUCCGCUAUAAUCUCCUUGACAGUUACUCGCUCAAGGUAGAAGAAGAAGCUCCAAAUUGGAACCUACGUUUUUCGUGUUGAUAUGCUCAUUUUAGCAUCUUGCAACGGCCAAUCGGGGGGUUUCUCUGCUGCCAGGUAUGAAUCCUCCUGUGUCUUUACUGGUAUUACUUAAGCUGCAAAGUGCAUGUCCUACAAAUCUUAGUAUAGUAGCACAAAAUAUUCAAAGGGAGAAAGUAAAGAUAUAAAGAGAGAGAAAGAGAGAUCAAAGUGAAUGUGUGGGACUCUUCUCUUAAUCUCCUUUUAGCACCUUAAGUGCUUUUAGAAAAGCUUGAUGGUGUCUUUAGCUAUUAAUAUAUUCAAGUAUCUCAUCAUGAUGAACAGAUCAUUGACUAACUUAUCAUGCUUGUUCACACCUCCCCUUGCAGUUAUCAUACAUAAAUUGUGUGCUCAUAUAUAUACUUAGGAAAAAGUGCUACUAAGGAUGGUAAUUGAGGUUUGGUAUCUCUAAUGAUUGGCUUAUUUAUUAAUGCAAAUAUGGAUUGAUGCAUCCUCUAAGAUUUGUUUCAGCUCGAUGGGCUUCUACUAAACAGCUGUUUGAGUAAAACUAUUUGAAUAAAUAUUAACAACUCUGUCUCUUAA